UAGGGAAUCUUCCGCAAUGGGCGAAAGCCUGACGGAGCAACGCCGCGUGAGUGAUGAAGGUCUUCGGAUCGUAAAACUCUGUUAUUAGGGAAGAACAAAUGUGUAAGUAACUAUGCACGUCUUGACGGUACCUAAUCAGAAAGCCACGGCUAACUACGUGCCAGCAGCCGCGGUAAUACGUAGGUGGCAAGCGUUAUCCGGAAUUAUUGGGCGUAAAGCGCGCGUAGGCGGUUUUUUAAGUCUGAUGUGAAAGCCCACGGCUCAACCGUGGAGGGUCAUUGGAAACUGGAAAACUUAAGUGCAGAAGAGGAAAGUGGAAUUCCAUGUGUAGCGGUGAAAUGCGCAGAGAUAUGGAGGAACACCAGUGGCGAAGGCGACUUUCUGGUCUGUAACUGACGCUGAUGUGCGAAAGCGUGGGGAUCAAACAGG
rnacentral:rRNA from 1 species